rnacentral:rRNA from 1 species
CGGGGCGGGAGGGCAAUGUGGUGUUUAGGAAUAGCGCGACCGAAGGUUGAUCUAAGCGCAAGUCCUCCUGACUGAGGCUCUCGCCCAUUGAGGGUGCAAGGCCCGUGGUCGCUUAUGAUCUCCGGCGGAAGCAAAAUUCCUUGGAGUCGGGUUGCUUGAGAGUGCAGCCCUAAGUGGGUGGUAAACUCCAUCUAAGGCUAAAUACGACCACGAAACCGAUAGCGAACAAGUACCGUGAGGGAAAGUUGAAAAGAACUUUGAAGAGAGAGUUCAAGAGUGCGUGAAACCGUUUAGAGGUAAACGGGUGGGCCCUCGAAGGUGAUCGUCGGAGGGAUUCAGUCGGACGUGACCGUAAGCGUCGUUCGUCUCUAACGGUGCGGACCUCGGUCGGCCGGGCGGGCGAAGGCUGCGGGCCGUUUGGCGCAUUUCCUUCCGUUCGAACUACGCUGCGACCAGUCUGGUCACUGAAAGUUGUCGUCCUUGAAAACGGGCGAUGGAAGGUGGCCGGCGGCGUCUCUCGGGAUGCCGUCGGUGUUUAUAGCCAGUUCGUUUCACGAGUGAGCGUUCAUCAGACUGGGGACGAUUCUAGCCCUGUGCGGGCUACGCCGAGCACUCCGUUUGGAGCGUUGCGGGACGACUGGAUGCGCCUGCGGUCGGUGGUUUCACCUUUGUGUGGGCUAACGCCGUAGGUCUCCGUAAGCUCGUUCCGUACUCGCCGACCCGUCUUGAAACACGGACCAAGGAGUCUAACAUGUGCGCGAGUCAUUGGGUCUUGAAUAGGCCCAAAGGCGUAAUGAAAGUGAAGGGCGGUUCGGCCGUCUGCCUUGGGAUCCCGUGAACCUCGCGUUCGCGGGCGCACCAAGGGCCCGUCCCGGUCGCCUCGUCGACGGGGCGGAGCAAGAGCGUACACGUUGGGACCCGAAAGAUGGUGAACUAUGCCUGGGCAGGACGAAGCCAGAGGAAACUCUGGUGGAGGUCCGCAGCGAUUCUGACGUGCAAAUCGAUCGUCAGACCUGGGUAUAGGGGCGAAAGACUAAUCGAACCAUCUAGUAGCUGGUUCCCUCCGAAGUUUCCCUCAGGAUAGCUGGCGCUCGGAGGAUGCAGUCUCAUCCGGUAAAGCGAAUGAUUAGAGGCCUUGGGGUCGAAAAGACCUCAACCUAUUCUCAAACUUUAAAUGGGUGAGAAGUCCGGUUUGCUCGAGACUCCCUGGAAUCGGCUCGCCCGGAGAUAGGGAUGGUGUUUCCGUAAAG